rnacentral:rRNA from 1 species
UACGAGGGGGGCGAGCGUUGUUCGGAAUUAUUGGGCGUAAAGGGUGCGUAGGCGGUUUGGUAAGUCUUAUGUGAAAUCUACAGGCUCAACUUGUAGUCUGCAUGAGAAACUGCCGGGCUUGAGUGUGGGAGAGGUGAGUGGAAUUCCUGGUGUAGCGGUGAAAUGCGUAGAUAUCAGGAGGAACACCUGUGGCGAAGCGGCUCUGGCAUAACUGACGCU